rnacentral:rRNA from 1 species
UAGUAAUCGCAGAUCAGCAUGCUGCGGUGAAUACGUUCCCGGGCCUUGUACACACCGCCCGUCACACCAUGGGAGUCGGUAACACCCGAAGUCGGUAGCCUAACCGUAAGGAGGGCGCCGCCGAAGGUGGGAUUGAUGACUGGGGUGAAGUCGUAACAAGGUAUC